UAGAGUAGCUCAGUUGAUUAGUGUGUAUGGCUAUUAACCAUAACGUUGAAGGUUCAAGCCCUUCUUCUA
rnacentral:tRNA from 1 species